rnacentral:tRNA from 1 species
GUGUCUUGCGCUCAUGCCGCAGGCCGGCUUCCAGAUAUCGAUGAAGCCGGUCUCGUUCAAUCUGCAGGCCGUCAGCCCGAUGUUGGGCUUCAAGAAGAUUUUCUCGGUGCACACGCUGAUCGAUCUGGCGAAGAUGCU